rnacentral:pre_miRNA from 1 species
UGGGGGGUGGAGGGGUCCCUCAGCCCGGAAUGCGAGAGGGUGCAGGCCAGGCUGAGGGACCCCACUGGUGCAUG